AUUCUCCACCUUGGCCUCCCAAAGUACUGAGAUUACAGGUGUGAGGCACCACACCCAGCCAGGUAAUUUUGCAACCUCAUUCUGUUUAUUGCUCCAGCCACUCUCAGUGGCCCAUCCCACCCUUCUUCCAGGCCAACCCGGGUCCCCUCUUCCAAAGCCCACAGGAGCUCUCUUCUGAAAGGAUCUCCAGCCUUGGGUUUACCUCAUCAGCACCCUUGCCCUAAAGCAUAGAGACCCAGGACCUUGGCAACAGAAGGAAGUGGCCUUUUUUGGUGCAUUCUAGAAUUCCUGGCAGGCCUCCCCUCUCCCCAGCACCUGCCUCCAUUCCUUCCGCACACAUUUUUAGGUCUGGCACCAGAGAUCCUAUGGCAGAGUAAGCCCUGGGAGGAUGCUAGGUGAGUUGCAGUGCAUCCCACCUUACUUGUGUAUCUGCAGCCCUUCACUAAUCAUGGCUGCAAUGGCCUUUUCUUGGAGGAGUCAGAGAGAUUGACUGUGGAGCUUGGGCUUAAAGAAUGCUUGGGAGAAAAUG
rnacentral:lncRNA from 1 species